CGCAUCUGUGCAUGCAGCAUAUCAAUAAGCGGAGGAAAAGAAACUAACAAGGAUUCCCCUAGUAACGGCGAGUGAAGCGGGAAGAGCUCAAAUUUGAAAUCUUAAAGGGUUUCCCUUUACGAAUUGUAGUUUAAAGAAGUGUUUUCUGUUGAGGUUUUGGUAAAAGUUCUUUGGAAUAGGACAUCAUAGAGGGUGAGAAUCCCGUAUUUGACCUUUACUUUCAACUUUGUGAUACACUUUCAAAGAGUCGGAUUGUUUGGGAAUGCAGUCCAAAAUGGGUGGUAAAUUUCAUCUAAAGCUAAAUAUUGGCGAGAGACCGAUAGCGAACAAGUACCGUGAGGGAAAGAUGAAAAGAACUUUGAAAAGAGAGUUAAACAGUACGUGAAAUUGUCAAAAGGGAAGCGUUUGACACCAGUGUUGUUUUUCUGAAAAUCAAUUAAAGAACUGUUUAUGCUAAGCUGUUUAGACUUUAUCAGCUAACUGUUUAGUUUUGAGCUUUUCUUUAAUGCACUUUUCAGUUAACAAGUCAACAUCAAUUUCUUUUGCUGUAAAAAAGCUUGAGGAAGGUGGCUUGAGAUUCGUCUUAAGUGUUUAUAGCCUCUUGCCUAUGCAGUCGGAGAGAUUGAGGUCUGCAGCGUAGAUCCUUCGGGGCUAAAUGCAUUUGUGCUAAGUUAUAGCAUUUUAUAGACAACUUGUUGACUAUGAUUUGUCUUGUAGCUUACUCGCUUAUGUUAUUUUACCUACGCUUAGGAUGUUGAACGCGCACAGAGUCUC
rnacentral:rRNA from 1 species